rnacentral:rRNA from 1 species
UACGACUACAUAUCAGGCAUAUCAAUAAGCGGAGGAAAAGAAACUAACAAGGAUUACCCUUAGUAACGGCGAGUGAAGCGGGAAGAGCUCAAAUUUGAAAUCUUCAAGGUUCUACCUUGACGAAUUGUAGUUUAAAGAAGUGUUUUCUGUUAGAUGAGUAGCAAAAGUUCCUUGGAAUGGGACAUCAGUAGAGGGUGAGAAUCCCGUAUUUGGUUAUUCAUUCUAGCUUUGUGAUACACUUUCAAAGAGUCGGAUUGUUUGGGAAUGCAGUCCAAAAUGGGUGGUAAAUUUCAUCUAAAGCUAAAUAUUGGCGAGAGACCGAUAGCGAACAAGUACCGUGAGGGAAAGAUGAAAAGAACUUUGAAAAGAGAGUUAAACAGUACGUGAAAUUGUCAAAAGGGAAGCGUUUGACACCAGUGUUGUUUUUCCGAAAAUCAAUUACGAAUGGCUUGAUUUUGUGUUGUAUUGACCUUAUCAGCUUUCUUCACUUUUUUCGAGUCUUUCCUAAUGCACUUUUCGGUUAACAAGUCAACAUCAAUUUCCUUUGUUGUAAAAGAGUCAUUGGAAGGUGGCUUUCUUUUCGGAGAAAGUGUUUAUAGCCUUAUGCCUCUACAAUCGGAGAGAUUGAGGUCUGCAGCGUAGAUCCUUCGGGGUUAGAUACAUUUGUGCUAAGUUGUAGCUUUUCAUAGACAACUUGUUGACUAUGUUUAGUCAUGCGGCUUACUCGCUUAUGCUAUUUUACCUACGCUUAGGAUGUUGAGUAGCGACAUACGCAC